rnacentral:rRNA from 1 species
UGUAUAAUGGGUCAGCGACUUAUAUUCUGUAGCAAGGUUAACCGUAUAGGGGAGCCGAAGGGAAACCGAGUCUUAACUGGGCGUUAAGUUGCAGGGUAUAGACCCGAAACCCGGUGAUCUAGCCAUGGGCAGGUUGAAGGUUGGGUAACACUAACUGGAGGACCGAACCGACUAAUGUUGAAAAAUUAGCGGAUGACUUGUGGCUGGGGGUGAAAGGCCAAUCAAACCGGGAGAUAGCUGGUUCUCCCCGAAAGCUAUUUAGGUAGCGCCUCGUGAACUCAUCUUCGGGGGUAGAGCACUGUUUCGGCUAGGGGGCCAUCCCGGCUUACCAACCCGAUGCAAACUACGAAUACCGAAGAAUGUUAUCACGGGAGACACACGGCGGGUGCUAACGUCCGUCGUGAAGAGGGAAACAACCCAGACCGCCAGCUAAGGUCCCAAAGUCAUGGUUAAGUGGGAAACGAUGUGGGAAGGCACAGACAGCCAGGAUGUUGGCUUAGAAGCAGCCAUCAUUUAAAGAAAGCGUAAUAGCUCACUGGUCGAGUCGGCCUGCGCGGAAGAUGUAACGGGGCUAAACCAUGCACCGAAGCUGCGGCAGCGACGCUUAGGCGUUGUUGGGUAGGGGAGCGUUCUGUAAGCCGUUGAAGGUGUCCUGUGAGGGGUGCUGGAGGUAUCAGAAGUGCGAAUGCUGACAUAAGUAACGAUAAAGCGGGUGAAAAGCCCGCUCGCCGGAAGACCAAGGGUUCCUGUCCAACGUUAAUCGGGGCAGGGUGAGUCGACCCCUAAGGCGAGGCCGAAAGGCGUAGUCGAUGGGAAACAGGUUAAUAUUCCUGUACUUGGUGUUACUGCGAAGGGGGGACGGAGAAGGCUAUGUUAGCCGGGCGACGGUUGUCCCGGUUUAAGCAUGUAGGCGGAGGUUCCAGGUAAAUCCGGUACCUUUUAACGCUGAGGUGUGAUGACGAGGCACUACGGUGCUGAAGUAACAAAUGCCCUGCUUCCAGGAAAAGCCUCUAAGCAUCAGGUAACACGAAAUCGUACCCCAAACCGACACAGGUGGUCAGGUAGAGAAUACCAAGGCGCUUGAGAGAACUCGGGUGAAGGAACUAGGCAAAAUGGUGCCGUAACUUCGGGAGAAGGCACGCUGAUAUGUAGGUGAAGCCCCUGCGGGUGGAGCUGAAAUCAGUCGAAGAUACCAGCUGGCUGCAACUGUUUAUUAAAAACACAGCACUGUGCAAACACGAAAGUGGACGUAUACGGUGUGACGCCUGCCCGGUGCCGGAAGGUUAAUUGAUGGGGUUAGCGGCAACGCGAAGCUCUUGAUCGAAGCCCCGGUAAACGGCGGCCGUAACUAUAACGGUCCUAAGGUAGCGAAAUUCCUUGUCGGGUAAGUUCCGACCUGCACGAAUGGCGUAAUGAUGGCCAGGCUGUCUCCACCCGAGACUCAGUGAAAUUGAACUCGCUGUGAAGAUGCAGUGUACCCGCGGCAAGACGGAAAGACCCCGUGAACCUUUACUAUAGCUUGACACUGAACACUGGUCCUUGAUGUGUAGGAUAGGUGGGAGGCUUUGAAGCGUGGACGCCAGUCUGCGUGGAGCCAACCUUGAAAUACCACCCUUUAAUGGCUGGUGUUCUAACGUAGACCCGUGAUCCGGGUUGCGGACAGUGUCUGGUGGGUAGUUUGACUGGGGCGGUCUCCUCCCAAAGAGUAACGGAGGAGCACGAAGGUUAGCUAAUCCUGGUCGGACAUCAGGAGGUUAGUGCAAUGGCAUAAGCUAGCUUGACUGCGAGAGUGACGGCUCGAGCAGGUGCGAAAGCAGGUCAUAGUGAUCCGGUGGUUCUGAAUGGAAGGGCCAUCGCUCAACGGAUAAAAGGUACUCCGGGGAUAACAGGCUGAUACCGCCCAAGAGUUCAUAUCGACGGCGGUGUUUGGCACCUCGAUGUCGGCUCAUCACAUCCUGGGGCUGAAGUAGGUCCCAAGGGUAUGGCUGUUCGCCAUUUAAAGUGGUACGCGAGCUGGGUUUAGAACGUCGUGAGACAGUUCGGUCCCUAUCUGCCGUGGGCGCUGGAGAAUUGAGGGGGGCUGCUCCUAGUACGAGAGGACCGGAGUGGACGCAUCACUGGUGUUCGGGUUGUCAUGCCAAUGGCACUGCCCGGUAGCUAAAUGCGGAAAAGAUAAGUGCUGAAAGCAUCUAAGCACGAAACUUGCCCCGAGAUGAGUUCUCCCUGACCCUUUAAGGG